AUUGAACGCUGGCGGCAGGCUUAACACAUGCAAGUCGAGCGGAGUUGUGGUGCUUGCACCAUAACUUAGCGGCGGACGGGUGAGUAGUGCUUAGGAAUCUACCUUAUAGUGGGGGACAACUCGAGGAAACUCGAGCUAAUACCGCAUAAUCCUUACGAGGGAAAGCAGGGGAUCUUCGGACCUUGUGCUAUUAGAUGAGCCUGCGUCGGAUUAGCUUGUUGGUAGGGUAAUGGCCUACCAAGGCAACGAUCCGUAGCUGGUCUGAGAGGAUGAUCAGCCACACUGGGACUGAGACACGGUCCAGACUCCUACGGGAGGCAGCAGUGGGGAAUAUUGCACAAUGGGCGAAAGCCUGAUGCAGCCAUGCCGCGUGUGUGAAGAAGGCCUUCGGGUUGUAAAGCACUUUCAGCGAGGAGGAAAGCUCAAGCGUUAAUAGCGUUUGGGUGUGACGUUACUCGCAGAAGAAGCACCGGCUAACUUCGUGCCAGCAGCCGCGGUAAUACGAGGGGUGCAAGCGUUAAUCGGAAUUACUGGGCGUAAAGCGUACGCAGGCGGUUUGUUAAGCAAGAUGUGAAAGCCCCGGGCUCAACCUGGGAACUGCAUUUUGAACUGGCAAACUAGAGUCUUGUAGAGGGGGGUAGAAUUUCAGGU
rnacentral:rRNA from 1 species